UAAUACCGCAUACGACCUAAGGGAGAAAGCGGGGGAUCUUCGGACCUCGCGCUAUAGGGGCGGCCGAUGGCAGAUUAGCUAGUUGGUGGGGUAAAGGCCUACCAAGGCGACGAUCUGUAGCUGGUCUGAGAGGACGACCAGCCACACUGGGACUGAGACACGGCCCAGACUCCUACGGGAGGCAGCAGUGGGGAAUUUUGGACAAUGGGGGAAACCCUGAUCCAGCAAUGCCGCGUGUGUGAAGAAGGCCUUCGGGUUGUAAAGCACUUUUGUCCGGAAAGAAAACCUCUUGGAUAAUACCUGAGGGGGAUGACGGUACCGGAAGAAUAAGCACCGGCUAACUACGUGCCAGCAGCCGCGGUAAUACGUAGGGUGCGAGCGUUAAUCGGAAUUACUGGGCGUAAAGCGUGCGCAGGCGGUUUGUUAAGACAGAUGUGAAAUCCCCGGGCUUAACCUGGGAACUGCAUUUGUGACUGGCAAGCUAGAGUAUGGC
rnacentral:rRNA from 1 species